UAAGAAUUGGCGCGGGAAGAUCAAGGAGAAAAGCAGAAAGAAAAUGUCGUGUUCAAGGGCGUCGGAUUAGGGUUGCCUUCUACGAAUGCCAAUUCCAGUUGCAAUUUUCCUUCUAAUAAGAAUCUUCCUUCAAACCGUGAAUUUCAACCAAUUUCACUUCGUUGUCGUGUAUUGCUUUCUGAAAAUGGCGACGAUUCUAAGUUCGAUGCCGAUUGCACUUUUACAUCAACUAGAGGAAUAGAGAAGCUGGUGCCGAUGGCUCUGGAACUUCUGCUAGAAGUCGUCGAUUGCUUAAGCUUCGCGAAGAGAAGCGCAAACAGGAACAUGAUCGUCUCCACAGUUAUCUUGCCGUCUUUUCUGUAUGAUUGUGUGUUGCGUUGUCUUCACUCUGUUUGUUUGCUAAUGAAAUCGCCGGGAAAACGGCUGAUUGUUUGAAGAUGCCUGCAAAAACGAGGCGGAAUUUCGCGCUGUUCCUAGCGAUAGCAUCGGCAAUCAGAGGCAAUGAGGAACAAGGUUAUCCAGUCCUGGUAUGUCAUUGGUCGAUUGGAGGACUUUUAACUCUUCAAAUUUCUGGCGAAUUCAGCCAUGGAGUGCAAUUCCUCUCUAUAAUGCAGAUAAAGGGUUUGAAGUGAUGCCGCCAUCAUUUCAUGAUAUCAGUGAUGUAGAGUUUCAGGAUAACUGGGGCCGGGUUUGGGUUGACCUAGAUAUUUAGCCAUCCAGUAAGUCAUCUUUGGAGGACGUCGUAUGAGCGAUUGGGAAGAAGGGAUGGCAAGCCCCGAGAAUGGUACAAGUAUUUCAAAAUCUUUCUUCUUUAGAAUCUUGGUGUAUUUAAUGCCUCCUCUAUAUCCUAAAUCUUCAUCUUUAUUUAAACUUCCGCCAGAAUAGUAGGAAGUUUUUAGGCUUAGAUCAGGUAGUUUGAGAAUUUUGCAUUCAGAAAAUAAAAAAAUGGCCCACACGCUCUUCUCCUUUAGGAAAGGUAAUACCAAUUAGACGUGAGAAUCUUGGAGGGAGGAUUGAACCAAAAAAAGUAGCCCUGCAAGUAAUGCCUUAGCUAAGUUAAGUUGUGAAACUCUUCGUUCUUAUGCCCACCUCAAUUUGUUAGGGAAAAAAAUGUCCCACAGCCAUAGUUAAAAUAUAUAUCAUCCAUAGGGAGGUUAAAGGUUUAAAUUCUCAUCCAUAUGUUUCAAUAAAUUAAAAUGUCUUACCGGAAAAGAAAAAGAACCCAAGGUAAAAGGUAAUUGGCCAUCCUCUGUUGGAUCAAGGAUUUCUAUGGUGUAAAAUUGGGACUUUCAUUCUAAAACAAAAAACAACAAUUAUAGGUCCUCAUGGUCAUGAGAAUCCUUGAACAGAACGGCCCGUGAAUUUUAUUGCUAGUUUUUUAGUAUAAUAAAUGGGAUAAAAGAGGAUUUAAACAUAUGCAUCAUGCUUAUCACUCCAUUAUAUCAUUCUUAUGGCCCCAGCCCCAAAAAAGUUGUUUCAGUACAGGUCAGGGUAUCAAAAAGCAAAACAUAUUAUAAGUAGAUUUAAUUAUUAUAUUAAUUUAGU